GGGCCAUAUCACAUUGAAACACUGGUUUUCAUUCAAUCACAGAAGUUAAGAAACAUUGAACCUGGUCAGUACCUUGGUGGGUGAUUGCUUGGGAAGUCCAGAUGCUGUAA